GACGAACGCUGGCGGCGUGCUUAACACAUGCAAGUCGAACGGAAAGGCGCGGCUUUUGCGGGGUGCACGAGUGGCGAAGGGGUGAGUAAAACGCGAGUAAACUGCACUUGACUUUGGGGUAAAUUCAGGAAACUGGGGCUAAUACCGGAGAGGAGCUCCUGAUGCAUGGUGUGGGUUGGAAAGUUUCGGCGGUGGGGGAUGGACUCGCGGCUUAUGAGCUGGUUGGUGUGGUAGUGGCGUACCAGGGCUACGACGGGUAGCCGGCCUGAGAGCGUGACCAGCGACAUUGGUCCUGCGGGAGGGACCAGAAUCCUACGGGAGGCAGCAGUGGGGAAUAUUGCGCAACGAGGGGAAGCGUGAUGCAACAGCGUCCGGUGCGGAAUGCCGGGCUAUGAGUUAUGAACAGCUUUGGAAUGUGCCGAAGAGUGAUUGACGGUACUGGGUAAAAAAGCCCCGGCUAACUACGUG
rnacentral:rRNA from 1 species